CAUCGUCGUAUAUGUAUGAAAUGGAUGACACAGAACAUCCUGAAGAUGGUAUCUUCAUUCGCCAAGUGACAGAUGCAGAAACAAAACCCAAGUCACCAUGUACUUGACAAGAUUUCAUUUACUUAAGUGCCAUGUUGAUGAUAAUAAAACAAUUCGUACUCCCCAAUGGUGGAUUUAUUACUAUUAACAAAGAAACCAGGGAAAUAUAUUAAUUUUAAUAUUAUAAGAACCUGAAAAUAAUGGAAAAGAGGUUUUUAUUGAUUUUUUUUUUUUAAACGAACACUUUUAAGUGCAUGAGACGGUUGAUGGUUUGUUGCAUUAAGGGUAUUCUGGGCAAACAAAAUUGGAGGGCAGUGAUUACACUUUUGAGAAUCAGUUUUGACCUUGAUAAUUUUUGUUUCCACUGUGGAAAUACAUGUUUGUAAAUAAAUAUAGGUAAUAAAAAUCCUUUUGCAUUCUUUCUGGACCUUAAAUGGUGGAGGAAAAGGCUCUUGAGCCAUUUGUUUCUUUUGCUGGUUGUACUUGCUAAUUCGAAAGCUGCUUCAGACUGCCUCAUGAGGAGGUUAAUCUACAAUUAAACAGUAUUUCCUCUUGGCCGUCCAUUAUUUUCCGAAGCAGAUGGUUCAUCGUUUCCUGGGCUGUUCAACAAAGCAAGGUUAAGGUUAGACUCCUGGGAAUCAGCUAGUUUUCAAUCUUAUUAGGGUGCAGAAGGAAAACUAAUAAGAAAACCUCCUAACUUCAUUUUGUGACUGUAAACAAUUAUUUAUUAGCAAACAAUUGAUCCCAGAAGGGCAAAUUGUUUGAGUCAGUAAUGAGCUGAGAAAAGACAGAGCAUAUCUGUGUAUUUGGAAAAAUAAUUGUAACGUAAUUGCAGUACAUUUAGACAGGCAUCUAUUUGGACCUGUUUCUAUCUCUAAAUGAAUUUUUGGAAACAUUAACAAGGUUUACAUAUUUCUGUGACAUUUAUAUAGUUCUCAUGUCCAUUUCAGUUGCCCAGCCGCUGGUGAUUAAGGUUAAAAAGAAAAAAAUUAUAGUGAGAAUGAGAUUCACUUUAAUGUAAUGCCCUGAAACAGAACACGAACUUCGCUUGGCCUGUUACAGCUAGUUCCACAUAGUGUUUCUGUGGUCAGACUUUGGUGUUUAUUUAUAUUAUUUGCAAAUGUAUGUUUUGAAUGGGCCUUGGACCUUUACUGAAAUUUAUCCAUGACAUGUUUUUUAAGAAAUUCUUUUGAUACAGAGAAAGGUCUUUUAUUUUCUGAGUGUUUCAGUGAAAACUUAGUGUAAGUCUGAACCCAUCUUUUGAAAUGUAUUUUCUUCAUUGCAGGUCCACCUAAUCAUCUCGUGAAAGUGGUUUCUCUAUGGCAAGCUUUGUUUUGCUUCCUACAAAUACAUACUUAUCCCCUAAGGGAUGCGUUAUAGUCAUUGUGGACACCUUAUUUAGUGUGUGGAUUUCUCUGUUUUCUGUCUGAACAAAAAACUUGUCUGUGUGCCCUUUCAUGCUGACUGUAUAGGAUGAGGAGUCUUUGUGUCCUUGUGUGGUAGUCCGAAGAAUUGUUUUUACCCCCAGAAAGCCCAGUUGCUGUUUAUGAGCAGCUAGAGCUCUUUUUGUAAAAUAAUUUAAAGCUGUUAUUUCCAUGCUGUCUAAUAAAUCAGAGAUUCAGAACCCUUAAA